rnacentral:rRNA from 1 species
UACGUAGGGUGCGAGCGUUAAUCGGAAUUACUGGGCGUAAAGCGUGCGCAGGCGGUCGUGUAAGACAGAUGUGAAAUCCCCGGGCUCAACCUGGGAACUGCAUUUGUGACUGCACGGCUGGAGUGCGGCAGAGGGGGAUGGAAUUCCGCGUGUAGCAGUGAAAUGCGUAGAUAUGCGGAGGAACACCGAUGGCGGAGGCAAUCCCCUGGGCCUGCACUGACGCUCAUGCACGAAAGCGUGGGGAGCAAACAGG